rfam:Pontibacillus yanchengensis Y32 contig74, whole genome shotgun sequence.
AACACGUUUUAAUAAAGUCCCGUGAGGCUUUAAAGGGUGUUAGGUCGAUCGACUUAGCGUGGUGUAGUUUGGCUACGUGUACCGAUUAACCAGCAUUCCUUUAAGGGAUGCUGGUUUUUUUAU